GAUGAACGCUGGCGGCGUGCUUAACACAUGCAAGUCGAACGGAAAGGCCCAAGCUUGCUUGGGUACUCGAGUGGCGCACGGGUGAGUAACACGUGGGUGAUCUGCCCUGCACUUCGGGAUAAGCCUGGGAAACUGGGUCUAAUACCGGAUAGGACGAUGGUUUGGAUGCCAUUGUGGAAAGUUUUUUCGGUGUGGGAUGAGCUCGCGGCCUAUCAGCUUGUUGGUGGGGUAAUGGCCUACCAAGGCGUCGACGGGUAGCCGGCCUGAGAGGGUGUACGGCCACAUUGGGACUGAGAUACGGCCCAGACUCCUACGGGAGGCAGCAGUGGGGAAUAUUGCACAAUGGGCGCAAGCCUGAGGCAGCGACGCCGCGUGGGGGAUGACGGCCUUCGGGUUGGAAACUCCUUUCGCUAGGGACGAAGCGUUUUUGUGACGGUACCUGGAGAAGAAGCACCGGCUAACUACGUG
rnacentral:rRNA from 1 species